rnacentral:miRNA from 1 species
GACGUCGAUAUUCGACGUCGUAAACACGAUAAUCUUUGAUGUUGAUGACGUCCAUAUUCGACGUCAUAAACACGAAAAACUUUGUUGUUUAUUACGUCGAUAUACGACGUCAUAAAUAGGAUCAACUUUGGUGUAUAUAACGUCGAUAUGCGACGUCAUAAACACGAUCAACAUUGAUGUUUAUAACGUCGAUAUUCGAAGUGACAAACACGAUCAACUUUGGUGUAUUAGACGUCGAUAUUCGACGUCAUAAACACGAUCAUCUUUGGUGUUUAUGACGUCGAUAUUCGACUUC